GGGUCGGUUCCGGAGCGGUCAAACGGAGCAGACUGUAAAUCUGUUGGCUCUGCCUUCGGGGGUUCGAAUCCCUCCCGGCCCACAA
rnacentral:tRNA from 1 species